GAUGAACGCUGGCGGCGUGCCUAAUACAUGCAAGUCGAACGAAACUUCUUUAUCACCGAGUGCUUGCACUCACCGAUAAAGAGUUGAGUGGCGAACGGGUGAGUAACACGUGGGCAACCUGCCCAAAAGAGGGGGAUAACACUUGGAAACAGGUGCUAAUACCGCAUAACCAUAGUUACCGCAUGGUAACUAUGUAAAAGGUGGCUAUACUACCGCUUUUGGAUGGGCCCGCGGCGCAUUAGCUAGUUGGUAGGGUAAAGGCUUACCAAGGCAAUGAUGCGUAGCCGAAUUGAGAGGUUGAUCGGCCACAUUGGGACUGAGACACGGCCCAAACUCCUACGGGAGGCAGCAGUAGGGAAUCUUCCACAAUGGGCGAAAGCCUGAUGGAGCAACGCCGCGUGGGUGAAGAAGGUCUUCGGAUCGUAAAACCCUGUUGUUAGGGAAGAAAGUGCGUGAGAGUAACUGUUCACGUUUCGACGGUAUCUAACCAGAAAGCCACUGCUAACUACGUG
rnacentral:rRNA from 1 species